GUAAGGAAUAUUGGACAAUGGGCGGAAGCCUGAUCCAGCCAUGCCGCGUGAAGGACGAAGGCGCUCAGCGUUGUAAACUUCUUUUGGGUGGGAACAAUAACCCCGACGUGCUCGGGGCUUGAGGGUACCACCAGAAUAAGCACCGGCUAACUCCGUGCCAGCAGCCGCGGUAAUACGGAGGGUGCAAGCGUUAUCCGGAAUCACUGGGUUUAAAGGGUGCGUAGGCGGCCCAAUAAGUCAGUCGUGAAAUCGCUGGGCUCAACCCAUGCAAUUGCGAUUGAUACUGUUAGGCUUGAAUGGGGUUGAGGCUGGCGGAAUGCGACAUGUAGCGGUGAAAUGCUUAGAUAUGUCGCAGAACACCGAUUGCGAAGGCAGCCAGCUGGGCCUUUAUUGACGCUGAGGCACGAAAGCGUGGGGAGCAAACAGGAUUAGAUACCCGAGUAGUCC
rnacentral:rRNA from 1 species